CCAAUAGCGUAUAUUAAAGUUGCUGCAGUUAAAAAGCUCGUAGUUGAAUUUCGGGACCAUCAUGUCGGUCGUGCCUCGGUACGUACUGGCAUUGUUGGUUUCUCCCUUCUGACGAACCAUGAUGUCAUUAAUUUGGUGUCUUGGGGAAUCAGGACUGUUACUUUGAAAAAAUUAGAGUGUUUAAAGCAGGCUCACGCUUGAAUACAUUAGCAUGGAAUAAUGAAAUAGGACGUUUGAUUCUAUUUUGUUGGUUUCUAGGAUCGACGUAAUGAUUAAUAGGGAUAGUUGGGGGCAUUAGUAUUCAAUUGUCAGAGGUGAAAUUCUUGGAUUUAUUGAAGACUAACUACUGCGAAAGCAUUUGCCAAGGAUGUUUUCAUUAAUCAAGAACGAAAGUUAGGGGAUCGAAGACGAUCAGAUACCGUCGUAGUCUUAACCAUAAACUAUGCCGACUAGGGAUCGGAUGAUGUUAAUUUUUUAAUGACUCAUUCGGCGCCUUACG
rnacentral:rRNA from 1 species